rnacentral:piRNA from 1 species
AACCACAACAUUAGCAGCCUCUGGACCAC